rnacentral:rRNA from 1 species
AAACCAACAGGGAUUGCCUCAGUAACGGCGAGUGAAGCGGCAAAAGCUCAAAUUUGAAAUCCUUCGGGAGUUGUAAUUUGUAGGUUGGGAGACCCCGCGGCUAGUGGCACCAAGUCCCUUGGAACAGGGCGCCUUAGAGGGUGAGAGCCCCGUAGGUACCACAAUACCGUCUUGUGUCUCCUCUCCAAAGAGUCGAGUUGUUUGGGAAUGCAGCUCAAAGUGGGUGGUAAAUUCCAUCUAAAGCUAAAUACCGGCGAGAGACCGAUAGCGAACAAGUACAGUGAUGGAAAGAUGAAAAGCACUUUGAAAAGAGAGUGAAACAGUACGUGAAAUUGUUGAAAGGGAAGGGCUUGCAAGCAGACACGGCCUUCGUGCCGGGCCAGCAUCGGUUGCUAGGGGUGGAUAAGGAACAAGGAAUGUAGCUCCUCGGAGUAUUAUAGCCUUGCGCGAUACACCCACUGGCGACCGAGGCCUGCGGUAUUCCUACCUAGGAUGCUGGCGUAAUGGUUGCAAGCCGCCCGUCUUGAAACACGGACC